GGCUGGAUCACCUCCUUUCUAAGGAAGAUUGGAAGCAAUUCCGGUCUUUACUUAACACUCUACAGAGCUGCGGUUCUCAAGCCGUGGUCGCUGCCGCUGUCGCAUCCCUUUCCUAUGAUGGUACUUGGCGAGACGGACCCUGUUCGGAAGAUCGGGCGUCCGUCGCUUCGUCUGCCCGCAACGGGCUAGUAGCUCAGCUGGUUAGAGCGCGCGCUUGAUAAGCGUGAGGUCGGAGGUUCAAAUCCUCCCUGGCCCACCACCUUUCGCGCGAUCGGCUCUUCCUUCGGGUAACAGCCGGUUCGCGCCCUGGUGGUGUGACAGGCCAGACGAAGCGAGAUCGCGCCGACCGAAAGCUCAAACGGGGGCAUAGCUCAGUUGGGAGAGCGCCUGCUUUGCAAGCAGGAGGUCGUCGGUUCGAUCCCGUCUGCCUCCACCAUCAUCGACGCGUGGCCUGGCCAUGCGCAUAGAGCUUCGCGCCGCUUACGUGGCGUCGAUCGUUCUUUGACAUCGUUUAUCGGAAGAGGUCUUAAAGUCUAGAUUUCCUCGCUCUGUCGCCUAGGCAGAGUGGAAGGAAAGGGUAAUGAAGGCCGUCGUGCCGGGGGUCGUCCCCUGCACGGAACGAGCCGAUGUGGCGAUCGCAAGAUCGUCACUUCGCUGACAAAACGUGAGAUCAAGCACAAUAAGGGCGUUUGGCGGAUGCCUUGGCACUGAGAGGCGAUGAAGGACGUGGUAGGCUGCGAUAAGCUUCGGGGAGUUGCCAACACACUUUGAUC
rnacentral:misc_RNA from 1 species